AUUGAACGCUGGCGGCAGGCUUAACACAUGCAAGUCGAACGGUAGCAGGAGAAAGGUUGCUUUCUUGCUGACGAGUGGCGGACGGGUGAGUAAUGCUUGGGAAUCUGGCUUAUGGAGGGGGAUAACGACGGGAAACUGUCGCUAAUACCGCGUAUUAUCGGAAGAUGAAAGUGCGGGACUGAGAGGCCGCAUGCCAUAGGAUGAGCCCAAGUGGGAUUAGGUAGUUGGUGGGGUAAAGGCCUACCAAGCCUGCGAUCUCUAGCUGGUCUGAGAGGAUGACCAGCCACACUGGAACUGAGACACGGUCCGGACUCCUACGGGAGGCAGCAGUGGGGAAUAUUGCGCAAUGGGGGGAACCCUGACGCAGCCAUGCCGCGUGAAUGAAGAAGGCCUUAGGGUUGUAAAGUUCUUUCGGUAUUGAGGAAGGUUGAUGUGUUAAUAGCACAUCAAAUUGACGUUAAAUACAGAAGAAGCACCGGCUAACUCCGUGCCAGCAGCCGCGGUAAUACGGAGGGUGCGAGCGUUAAUCGGAAUAACUGGGCGUAAAGGGCACGCAGGCGGUUAUUUAAGUGAGGUGUGAAAGCCCCGGGCUUAACCUGGGAAUUGCAUUUCAGACUGGGUAACUAGAGUACUUUAGGGAGGGGUAGAAUUCCACGUGUAGCGGUGAAAUGCGUAGAGAUGUGGAGGAAUACCGAAGGCGAAGGCAGCCCCUUGGGAAUGUACUGACGCUCAUGUGCGAAAGCGUGGGGAGCAAACAGG
rnacentral:rRNA from 1 species